ACGUAGGGGGCAAGCGUUAUCCGGAAUUAUUGGGCGUAAAGAGUGCGUAGGUGGUUUUUUAAGCGUGAGGUGAAAGGCAAUAGCUUAACUAUUGUAAGCCUUGCGAACUGGAAGACUUGAGUGCAGGAGAGGAAAGUGGAAUUCCUAGUGUAGCGGUGAAAUGCGUAGAUAUCGGGAAGAACACCAGUGGCGAAGGCGGCUCUCUGGCCUAGAACUGACGCUGAAGCGCGAAAGCGUGGGGAGCGAACGG
rnacentral:rRNA from 1 species